rnacentral:rRNA from 1 species
UGAUCCUGGCUCAGAACGUACGCUGGCGGCACGCCUAACACAUGCAAGUCGAGCGAAGUAGCAAUACUUAGUGGCAGACGGGUGAGUAACAUGUAGGUAUCUGCCCUUUGGCCUGGAAUAACACGAGGAAACUUGUGCUAAUACCGGAUAAGUCUUUACGGAGAAAGCUUUAUGCACCAUUGGAUGAGCCUGCACUUGAUUAGUUUGUUGGUGGGGUAAUGGCCUACCAAGACUGUGAUCAAUAGCUGAUUUGAGAGGAUGAUCAGCCACAUUGGGACUGAGACACGGCCCAAACUCCUACGGGAGGCAGCAGUGGGGAAUCUUGCACAAUGGAGGAAACUCUGAUGCAGCGAUGCCGCGUGAGUGAAGAAGGCCCUUGGGUUGUAAAGCUCUUUCGUCGGGGAAGAAAAUGACUGUACCCGAAUAAGAAGGUCCGGCUAACUUCGUGCCAGCAGCCGCGGUAAUACGAAGGGACCUAGCGUAGUUCGGAAUUACUGGGCUUAAAGAGUUCGUAGGUGGUUGAAAAAGUUAGUGGUGAAAUCCCAGAGCUUAACUCUGGAACUGCCAUUAAAACUUUUCAGCUAGAGUAUGAUAGAGGAAAGCAGAAUUUCUAGUGUAGAGGUGAAAUUCGUAGAUAUUAGAAAGAAUACCAAUUGCGAAGGCAGCUUUCUGGAUCAUUACUGACACUGAGGAACGAAAGCAUGGGUAGCGAAGAGGAUUAGGUACCCUCGUAGU